rnacentral:tRNA from 1 species
AUACAUUUAUCUACGCACUAAAUCAGGUAGCCAGAAGGGCCACCCCCACCUAUAAAUAAAAUAUA